UUCAGCCUAGGCUUGUUUUUCAGGACCGACUUAAUGAUCGUUUUUAUGUGGCUUGAUAGGCCCCAGGCCGCUUUCUCCGCGGCAGUACCGUUGGAUCGGUUGGCCGGGCGUGGUGGCAGCAAAAGACCGUCGAUGGAGACCUGGCUCAAGAAUAAACGGUCGUGUUUUAGUAACGCGACCUGGUGAUCUACAGAAACACGGUUGCUGCUUUGUCUGUGUGUCUGGCCCAAGAUGGCGGCCGCGUUGUGUACCGGGCAGAGACAGGCAAGCAGCGUGCCCCCGGGUUAAUGUUCGGGAAGAAAUUGAAGAGUUUAUUCCAAGAAUGUGGAAGAUAAAGCAAGAUAAACGAAGGCUAAUGAAAAGUUUUAAAGAUCAGAAAAUAUCUAUUGAAUGGGGGAAAAAUUUGAACAGAAGAUUGGUCAGAUAGAAGCACUUGAAUAUUUUUAAGGCUUUAAUGAAUUAUUUGAAUUGGGGAAGAAUACACGAACUUGAAAAAUGAAAAAAAAAUAUGAAGAAUGAAGAAAAGUAUAAAGCAAGAGUGUCGUAGAAUUAAAAGAA